AACGAACGCUGGCGGCGUGGAUAAGACAUGCAAGUCGAACGAGAGAAUUGCUAGCUUGCUAAUAAUUCUCUAGUGGCGCACGGGUGAGUAACACGUGAGUAACCUGCCCCCGAGAGCGGGAUAGCCCUGGGAAACUGGGAUUAAUACCGCAUAGUAUCGAAAGAUUAAAGCAGCAAUGCGCUUGGGGAUGGGCUCGCGGCCUAUUAGUUAGUUGGUGAGGUAACGGCUCACCAAGGCGAUGACGGGUAGCCGGUCUGAGAGGAUGUCCGGCCACACUGGAACUGAGACACGGUCCAGACACCUACGGGUGGCAGCAGUCGAGAAUCAUUCACAAUGGGGGAAACCCUGAUGGUGCGACGCCGCGUGGGGGAAUGAAGGUCUUCGGAUUGUAAACCCCUGUCAUGUGGGAGCAAAUUAAAAAGAUAGUACCACAAG
rnacentral:rRNA from 1 species